rnacentral:rRNA from 1 species
UACAGAGGGUGCAAGCGUUGUUCGGAAUUAUUGGGCGUAAAGCGCGUGUAGGCGGCUCUGCAAGUCGGGUGUGAAAGCCCUCAGCUCAACUGAGGAAGUGCGCCCGAAACUGCAGAGCUUGAGUACCGGAGAGGAUGGCGGAAUUCCCCAAGUAGAGGUGAAAUUCGUAGAUAUGGGGAGGAACACCGGUGGCGAAGGCGGCCAUCUGGACGGAUACUGACGCUGAGACGCGAAAGCGUGGGUAGCGAACAGG